UGCGGCUGCAUCGGGAUCUCGCUGCUCCUUGCUAAAGGCAGACGAUGAGCACUACAUCCCGCGGGCCGUGCUGCUGGACCUGGAGCCCCGAGUGAUCCACUCCAUCCUGAACUCCCCGUAUGCCAACCUCUACAACCCGGAAAACAUCUACCUGUCCGAGCACGGAGGGGGAGCUGGGAACAACUGGGCCAGUGGCUUCUCCCAGGGAGAAAAAAUCCACGAAGAUAUUUUUGACAUAAUAGACAGAGAGGCUGAUGGGAGCGACAGUUUGGAAGGGUUUGUGCUUUGCCACUCCAUCGCUGGUGGGACGGGCUCGGGGCUGGGCUCCUACCUCCUGGAGAGGCUGAAUGACAGGUGAGCCUUCAGCCUCGUCCCCUUCC